UCCUAAGAGCCUCACCAUGCGAUAAUGAAGUGUUGAGGGACUGUGUAUAAAAGAUGGAGCAACUUAUUCUCGGUCCCACACUGUUCAAAUUGAAAUUACAGGUUAUUCUUUUAUUAAACAAAGCCCCAGUGUCUCUUUGCGCUUUACCGUGAAGCUCCAGCAGCUCAUUUCAACAUCCCAGCGCUGAUUGUAACAGGUGACAACCCGGAACAAAAGCUGAACACUAGUGGCCGUUAUUGAGUGAAGGGGGUGGUGUCGGGAAUCGUACCCAGAACGGCUUCGUCCAGGACUAUAGAUUCUACUGCCGGCCAUCACAGAGCAACAGAUGGAGGAGCACAACAGGACAUUCCCACUAAGAGGAUUCCUGUUUUUUGCCUGUCGCUGUGAACCUUUUUUCAGGCACAACGUCUUUCAUCAUAACCCAGCUCAACUGGCUCACUGGACCUGAUGUAGAUUUGCUGGAUAAGCCCUGCGAAACCCGCUAGUAUGCAUGUUGACCUGCUUGGCAAACGGAGAACCCUGACAGAGUCCACCGUGAAUAACACUGAAUUAAUGACUCAGGUGGGAUUAGAAAGUCCUGGUAGUAUCUUGAGUCUCUUUACUGCAAUCUCUUACAACUCAAAGGUAUGUGCCAGGUCUCUGUAUUUGAGUGGCCAGGUGUCAGAUUUCAUUCUAGCAUUACUCUUACAGAGGUAGUUUGUGUUCAAUUGAGAAAGGUUUUACAAAAGUUAAAUAAAUUUUACAAUUAUUAUAUGAUUCAACUCAAGACUUAUUUUCCUUUUUUUGCUUAAAAUUAUUUGUAUACUCUAUGAGUCAGUAGCUUGCAGUUUGGAAUACAAAGUAUAUUUUUCAUGUUUGUUCAAGGAUGAAAUGCCUUUCAUUUAAAUAGAUUUUCAGAAUCUCUCGGUUUCAGGAUUUUAUGCUAUCCCAUUCAUUGCUUAGCAUGUUGCAUCAUUUCAAAUAGAAGUUUCAUAUUUUGGUUUGUCUGGUUUUAGGAUUUACAUUUGCCAGAUUUACUUGACUGAAUUGAAUGAAUUUUAUUCAUUGUUUGUUAAAAAUGCAUUCAUGCUUUCACACAAAAAACAGCUUUAAACAUAAAUGUAAAUAUGUUGGCUUGCAGAAACCAGUAAGGAGCUAAUAAAAAACCCUACAUCUGUUUAAUGGC